UACGUAGGAGGCAAGCGUUGUCCGGAAUCACUGGGCGUAAAGCGCGUGUAGGUGGUGCGACAAGUCUGCUGUGAAAGCGCCUGGCUUAACCGGGCGAGGUCGGCGGAAACUGACGUACUGGAGGCCGGUAGAGGGGGGUGGAAUUCCCGGUGUAGUGGUGAAAUGCGUAGAGAUCGGGAGGAACACCAGUGGCGAAGGCGGCCCCCUGGGCCGGGCCUGACACUGAGACGCGAAGGCGUGGGGAGCGAACGGG
rnacentral:rRNA from 1 species